UCCGGCGCACUUUAGCACACUACACCCUCGCACACUUCCCUUCCCCUCUUUCCCAUGGACGCCAUCCGGUCCUUCCAUAUCUCCACCCGUCCCCCCUCCGCACCCGGCGGAGGAGGCGGCGGUGGAGGAGGAGGCCGCGAAGACUGUUGGAGCGAAGGUGCGACGGAGACCCUAAUAGAGGCGUGGGGAGACCGUUACGUUAAAGUCAACCGGGGAAAUCUCCGUCAGAAGGACUGGAAAGAAGUGGCUGACACAGUAAACGCCCGUCAAAACGGCGUCAAGCCAGGGAAAACGGACGUGCAGUGCAAGAACCGGAUCGAUACGUUGAAGAAGAAGUAUAAGCAAGAGAAAGCCAAACCCGCUCCAUCUAAAUGGCCGUUUUAUUACCGUCUCGAUUCCCUCAUCGGGGUUAACGCUACCGUCAACCCCAAAAAGAAGCCAGCCACCGCCGUAACAUUCACAGUGAA
rnacentral:misc_RNA from 1 species